rnacentral:lncRNA from 1 species
UGCACAUAUCAGCACUUCAACUUUUGAGCUUUACAUAUCUCACUCUGAUGAACCGUAUAUCUCUACUUUCUCAAACACUGUCAAGCAAAAGAAUCCCUCAGUUAUCACACUUUUAUCCAUCUGGGGAGGAAGGGAUGAGUCCCCUAACUUUUUCGCGAUGACUAGCCAGUUUUCUCGUAGGAAAUAUUUCAUCACAACAUCAAUAAAAACUGCUCGACAAUAUGGAUUUCAAGGGCUGGAUCUUCAUGGUGUCAACCCAAACACAGAUGCAAACAUGACUAAUAUGAGAUCAUUCAUUGAAGAGUGGCGGACAGCGAUUAAUUCUGAGUCCAAGAGUUCUGGUACAAGAAGACUGAUCUUGACUAUGGGAGCGUACUACUCACCUAUGCUAGAUUCUAUGUCCUAUCCAGUAGAUACAAUUAUCAGAAGUUUUGAUUGGGUUCAUCUCAAAGCAUAUGACUACUACUUGCCUACAAAAGAAAAUUUUACAGGACCACAUGCAGCUUUAUAUGACCCUACUAGCAAAUUAAAUACAGACUAUGGUAUAAAGGAAUGGAUCAAGAGUGGAUUACCAGCCAAUAAAAUAAUUCUAGGUUUGGCAUACCAUGGUUAUGCAUGGACACUUGUGAAUCCAAAACGUAACACGGUACGCUUACCUGCAAGAGGUUUGGCAAUAACACCCGAUGGAUCAAUGAGCUACAGAUACAUCAAGCAGUAUAUGAAAAGUUAUGGAGUCACACCAGUCUAUAAUUCCACAUUUGUUGUGAACUAUGUCACCAUUGGAUCAUUUUGGAUUGGUUAUGAUGAUGUCGAAGCUAUCAGAACUAAAGUUUCUUAUGCAAAGGAUAAGGGGCUUCUUGGUUUUGCUGCAUUCCAAAUACCUAGUGAUGAUGUCGAUUGGGAGCUGUCAAAAGCAGGUUUAAAUCAUAGAGAGCUUUGCUACCAUUUCAAGAUUCACUAACUCCUAUUCACUCAGCUCUAUCAACUAAUGUUUUUUCACAAAUUAAUACUUUCCUUACAGCUCAGGACGAAGAAGAAGAUCAAAGCAGCAGCGACCGAAGGUUACUGGCAAUUCUUCUGCCAACACUCACCCUCACCAUUCUCCUACUAAGUACAAUAGUGUGUAUCUUGAAAAAGAAAACCAUAAGAUCCGAAGGUAAAUAAUUCAACCCCUUGUCACUAUUUCUUUUAAAUGACCAACCAGAAUAUACUGGAACUGAAAAGUUUUCCUUUGAUUAUAGGGAUCGGGGAAUUGAAUGAAAGAGCUAUAGGUCGUAACCUAAAAGUUUUCAGCCUUGAUCAAAUAAAAGCAGCUACAGACAAUUUCUCAAUUAAGAACAAGCUUGGAGAGGGAGGAUAUGGACCUGUUUAUAAGGUAUUGAUAACCCAACUUUUGCUUUAUCCUUUUACAGGUGAUUCAAAUUAUGUGUCAGUAAUGCUAGGCGGCCAUGAGAUCAGAGAAUCUGUAGCAUAAUAUAUCAGAAAUAGGGAAACAACGAUGGCAAGAAAUUAGAAUAACCACCUUGGCAGCAUUCUGAAAUAGCCAUAUUCAAUAAAGAAAACAAAAGAAAUAGAAUUAACAAGUCCCUGGUUAGUGCAUAACAUACCUUCUGAAUACCUUCAAGUGUUAUUAGUAACCUCAUCAGAGGAAUGUAAAUCUUGUGUUUGUUUGUUUGUCUUCAUUCACAUCUCUGAAACAGAAAAGAGUGAAACAGCGGAGUACUCAAUUUAUAAAGCAGUCAUGUAGAAGUAGAUGAAACAAAAUCCAGUGCUUAAAUCGACUUUUAAUUGGUGCAUCAAAACCAUAUUUUGGAGUAAAUCAAAAGAAACCUUCAUCUAUAAAAGUACGAAUGAAACCUGAAGCAACAAAUCUCUGUUUCAUUCCCUAUGAAGCCUUUAUUUUAUGCACAUCCCUCUAACCACUUUGAACGUUUUCUUAUUGUACAUUCAAGUAGAAAAUUUGAGCUAAUCUUAUGCUCUUUUUAGCCCUCAAUGUGUAUUGUCAACCACUUAUCCAUGCAUAUACCUGAUAGACUUUGAAGAGGAGCCUUCGCGUAACUGGUAUAGUUGGAGCUCACGGGUUCAAGCUGUGAAACAGCCUCUUGCAGAAAUGCAGGGUAAGACUGCAUACAGUAGACCCUUGUAGUCUGGCUGUUCCCGGACCCCGCAAUGUGCGGGAGCUUAGUGCACCGGGCUACCCUUUUUUAUACCUGAUAUACUUUGUGCAGUUGGAAGUUUUUAUAUACAUAUCAAAAUGUGAAAACAGCUCUACAUGGUAAGUGGAGGUAUAGUUUUAUGAUGAGUAUAGUU